AGCAGUAGGAAUAUUCCACAAUGAGCGAAAGCUUGAUGGAGCGACACAGCGUGCACGAUGAAGGUCUUCGGAUUGUAAAGUGCUGUUAUAAGGGAAGAACAUUUGCAAUAGGAAAUGAUUGCAGACUGACGGUACCUUGUCAGAAAGCGAUGGCUAACUAUGUGCCAGCAGCCGCGGUAAUACAUAGGUCGCAAGCGUUAUCCGGAAUUAUUGGGCGUAAAGCGUUCGUAGGCUGUUUGUUAAGUCUGGAGUUAAAUCCCGGGGCUCAACCCCGGCUCGCUUUGGAUACUAGCAAACUAGAGUUAGAUAGAGGUAAGCGGAAUUCCAUGUGAAGCGGUGAAAUGCGUAGAUAUAUGGAAGAACACCAAAGGCGAAGGCAGCUUACUGGGUCUAUACUGACGCUGAGGGACGAAAGCGUGGGGAGCAAACAGGAUUAGAUACCCUGGUAGUCCACGCCGUAAACGAUGAUCAUUAGUCGGUGGAGAAUCACUGACGCAGCUAACGCAUUAAAUGAUCCGCCUGAGUAGUAUGCUCGCAAGAGUGAAACUUAAAGGAAUUGACGGGGACCCGCACAAGCGGUGGAGCAUGUGGUUUAAUUUGAAGAUACACGGAAAACCUUACCCACUCUUGACAUCCUUCGCAAAGCUAUAGAGAUAUAGUGGAGGUUAACAGAGUGA
rnacentral:rRNA from 1 species